rnacentral:rRNA from 1 species
UACAGAGGUCCCAAGCGUUAUUCGGAUUGAUUGGGCGUAAAGGGUGCGCAGACGGCAUGUUAAGUCAACUGUUAAAUUUCCCGGCUUAACCGGGAGCAAGCGGUAGAAACUGGCAAGCUAGAGGGUGGAAGAGAGAAGUGGAAUUCUCGGAGUAGCGGUAAAAUGCGUAGAUCUCGAGGGGAACACCGAUGGCGAAGGCAGCUUCGUUGGUCCAUUUCUGACGUUCAUGCACGAAAGCGUGGGGAGCAAACAGG